AAAAAUUAUUGUUCGCGAAUAUUCAAUUUGGAAUGCGAUUUUGUUAAUAAAAAAAAUACUUAUAACUUAUGCAAAACCCAAGAGAGGCAUUUAUAUUUAUUUCUUUUGCGUUCAUUUUCAAAUUCGCCGUGCAUACAUUUUUGUGCAUGGCGCUUGAGAGGGCAUCACGUGACUAAAAACGACCAACCAACGACCUCGCUUCGGCCAUCUUGGCAUCUUCAUCUUGGCGACUUUGCAUUGCCGUGGAUUAUUGUUUGUAUUAUUUGUGCUUUUUAAGAAUAUUUUUUUAAUUCGGAUACUUUUAUAAUAGCUUUAAUAGUAUUAUUAACAUAGUGCAUAAAAUGGUGUCCUGUUUUUAACGCAGUUGGAGUAGCAGAAACAAAUGUAGAUAAAAAAAUCUGCAGGAAUAACGUUUCAAUUAUGACAGAAGCUCAAAACAAAUGACUGUGAAUGAAAAGCCCUAUUAAAAGCUUUCCAGAAGAUCCUGGGAAGAAGACAUGAAGUAUAGAUCAGAUUUGUUAAUAGAGGAGUAUGUUCAAAACACUUUUUAGAAAAAGAUAUUGACAGAACUUCACUUUCAUCUGUUCGUUUGAGAGACUGUGCUGUUCCAAUAGCUUAUGUCACACAGAAUCAGCUGAGAGAAGUGGUCUACAAAAAACCAGAAAGGAAACGGAAUAUGUGGCUACGAAAAGCAAAAGAUCGGUUUACAAAGCAAAUGUGACACAUUUUUUUAUAAUAUUUAGGAAUGUCAGCAAAUUACAUUAAAAAAUGUAUGUAAAGAUUUUUUGCAAUAAAAAUGUUUAUAUUUA